UACGUAGGCAGCAAGCGUUGUUCGGAGUUACUGGGCGUAAAGGGCGUGUAGGCGGCUGGAUAAGUGUGGUGUGAAAUCUCUCGGCUCAACUGGGAGGGUGCGCUACAAACUGUCUGACUAGAGUGCGGGAUGGGAAAGUGGAAUUCCUGGUGUAGCGGUGAAAUGCGUAGAUAUCAGGAGGAACACCGGUGGUGUAGACGGCUUUCUGGUCCGUAACUGACGCUGAUACACGAAAGCGUGGGGAGCGAACAGG
rnacentral:rRNA from 1 species